CAGUCGCCACGGUAAUACGAAGGGUGCAAGCGUUACUCGGAUUUACUGGGCGUAAAGCGUGCGUAGGCGGCUUUUUAAGUCGGAUGUGAAAUCCCUGAGCUUAACUUAGGAAUUGCAUUCGAUACUGGGAAGCUAGAGUAUGGGAGAGGAUGGUAGAAUUCCAGGUGUAGCGGUGAAAUGCGUAGAGAUCUGGAGGAAUACCGAUGGCGAAGGCAGCCAUCUGGCCUAAUACUGACGCUGAGGUACGAAAGCAUGGGGAGCAAACAGGAUUAGAUACCCGAGUAGUCCCUGUCUCUUAUAA
rnacentral:rRNA from 1 species